GUAGACAGGUAUGACUCUAAGAAAAAGCUAUUAAUCAUCAAGCACAAAAUUACAUUAACCCCAUGCGGGGAGGGUGCGGAGUACGCUUUGCGUUCGAUGAUGCAACCCGCAAGCGUGGGGGUACAUCCAUGUCGCAUAGGUCCCCUGGGGAGAGAGGCGAGAACGCCUUUCCAUGAGCCCGGGGCAACCCCGACAUGGUACAGAACUGAAUCCCGGCAGGGUCAGCUGCUGGAGUCCGCGUAGCGAUGCGAUGAAGUGCGGUGUUAGCUGCCGGGUGACAGCUUU
rnacentral:snoRNA from 1 species